CCCUUAGAUGUCCUGGGCCGCACGCGCGCUACACUGAGUGUCUGAGAUACGAGUCUGCCUGGUCCGGCAAGGUCUAGGUAAUCGCUAAAAGACACAUCAUGCUUGGGAUAGAUUAUUGCAAAUAUUAAUCUUGAACGAGGAAUUCCAAGUAAGCGCAAGUCAACAGCUUGCGUUGAUUACGUCCCUGCCCUUUGUACACACCGCCCGUCGCUACUACUGAUUGGAUGUUUAAGCGAGGUUCUCGAACUGCUAGCGACUUAGCUUCGGUGAGGUCGCAGUGUGGGAAGUGAACCUAGCUUUGGUGUCUAGAGGAAGUAAAAGUCGUAACA
rnacentral:rRNA from 1 species